UACGUAGGGUGCAAGCGUUAAUCGGAAUUACUGGGCGUAAAGCGUGCGCAGGCGGUUGUGCAAGACAGAUGUGAAAUCCCCGGGCUCAACCUGGGAAUUGGCAUUUGUGACUGCACGGCUAGAGUGUGUCAGAGGGGGGUAGAAUUCCACGUGUAGCAGUGAAAUGCGUAGAGAUGUGGAGGAAUACCGAUGGCGAAGGCAGCCCCCUGGGAUAACACUGACGCUCAUGCACGAAAGCGUGGGGACGCGAACAGG
rnacentral:rRNA from 1 species